ACACAGAGCACCCGUGUAUCCUCGGCUGAAGAAAGCAAUUGAGGAGAGCAGAAAGUUCUCCUUUUAACGAAUUUGCACCCCUACAUACUGUAUGAAGAACACUUAUCGGUUUCCGGGUCACGGACAGAGUAGAGGAGGACAAAAGAGUCGAGGAGAGGACAGACAUUUUCUAAUUGAGAAUCUCCCACUGUCAUGGAUCGAUUCGCAUCAUAGACUCGCAGUGUCUUGUAAAUCAUUUCUCUCGCCAGGGAUUUGUGAAGAGACAGGCUAUUUUUGCAUGCAACACACUCUGCCUUACCUGCACCAACCAUUGCCAUGACGGGUGUCUUUGAGCUUUACACAAAAAGGGCAAAGACCGACAAAACAUUAAAAACCAAUACAAUCACAACUUUCAUGGCUGUUACUGUACCUGUGACAGACCUUAUCCAGACACUGAUGAUCAUGUGUGGGUUUCAUUCCAGCAUUAGGCACCAUUCACUUUCUCCAUCACUAUUGAUGAAUGAAUGUUUUAUUUCUGUCUGUAUCAUACACUUUGUUGAUAUGCUAGAUCUCUAGGAUUCAGUUAGUGUGUUGUUGAAAGAAUGAUGGCUAUGUCAUUCUAAAUCACAAAACACUGUCAUGGUCUUUAUAUUUCCGAUAACGUUAAUGAGGAUAUGAUCACCUCUAAGGACCGGUAUCAUCCCAGGGUAUGUAUCGGGCCAACAUCAUGAUUGUUGUCAGUUCUCUUUCUAAACUAUGUUAGCAGAGAUAAUGGUUUUGGUUACAAAGACCGGAAUGAUUACUCCUCCUCCAUGUGGACUUCUCUGUGACAGCACUUGGGUUGUAUGGUGGAAAAGACUGAGGAGAUGGAGUGUGAGACCUGUAUUAGCAAAGCCCCCUUCCUUUGGACCUACUUCGCCACUCAGCAGGUGUGUUAUUAUUCCUCCCACUGGCAGAGAGCGCUAGGGAUCCAGAGCUCUGGGCUUGGGUUACAAAAAACACCAACCAUAAAUGAGUACCGCUUUUUAAAUCUAUUGCCCCUAGCUAACUAAAGAUUGGAGAUAACGGUCCUGUUCAUUCAUUCAUUCAGUUGAGAGAAUGCCAAAAGUGUGCAAAACUAUAAUCAAGGGAAAGGGUGGCUACUUUGUUUAACACUUUUUUUUG